rnacentral:rRNA from 1 species
UACGGAGGGAGCUAGCGUUGUUCGGAAUUACUGGGCGUAAAGCGCACGUAGGCGGCUUUUGUAAGUUAGAGGUGAAAGCCCGGGGCUCAACCCCCGGAAUUGCCUUUAAGACUGCAUCGCUUGAAUCCGGGAGAGGUGAGUGGAAUUCCGAGUGUAGAGGUGAAAUUCGUAGAUAUUCGGAAGAACACCAGUGGCGAAGGCGGCUCACUGGACCGGCAUUGACGCUGAGGUGACGAAAGCGUGGGGAGCAAACAGG